rnacentral:rRNA from 1 species
UACGUAGGGUUCCCUCUUUUUCCUUCCUUAUUGGGCGUAAAGAGCUCGUAGGUGGUCUAUCACGUCGGAUGUGAAACCCUGAGGCUCAACCUCAGGCCUGCAUUCGAUACGGGCAGACUAGAGUGUGGUAGGGGAGACUGGAAUUCCUGGUGUAGCGGUGAAAUGCGCAGAUAUCAGGAGGAACACCGGUGGCGAAGGCGGGUCUCUGGGCCAUUACUGACACUGAGGAGCGAAAGCGUGGGGAGCAAACAGG